CGGAAUCUGCACUCUACUUUAAUUGAUAGGAGCUUGUGAUCUGCUUAUACGUGAAGCAGCUUUGCAGCACUCCGUCAGCUGCCAGGUUGCACAGAGAGAACUGGUGGGAGAACAGGUAGGGAGAAAAGAGGAAUAAACUGAACAAGCUCUCCUGUGGGUGUUACUCCACUUUGGAGUAAGUCGAGUUUCCACCUGGAGUUAACUACAAUCACAGUUCUGAACACUGGCCCUCCAAAUCCCUGUAGUAUCCUGACAGUUGUUGCAAGUCUUGUGCUGUGAAGAGCGUACAUAGAGCGGAUUCAAAUCCACCCGUAGUACCCCGAGUGACGAGGACUUCAGCAUUCUACGCUGAUGUGGAAGAGGUGCGAGUCCUCGCUGUAAAUGAGUGAAGAGGUACCACUACACUAGUGCCCUCCUAAAACCAAUUACCAAAAUCAGACAGAUGACUGGGAGAGAGUCAGUUACCUCGGUGUCAGUACUGGUGCCAUGCGAGAUGCCCUGCUCUAUCCAGCUACCACUCCAGAAUGCGGCAAGUGUUGACAGCUGCCCAUUCCACACGUGUGCCCUGGCUAGCCAAGCCCUUUGAAAUGCAACUGCACACCUACGUUCAGGGAGCUAAAUCUGACCAAGGGUAAAAAAAAAAAUAAAAAAAAAUAAAAUCACUCUGAAACAAAUCAGAGCACUCACAAGUCAUCUGUUACUAUUUUCAUCCUGGCCAAGAAAACUGAAGUAAUUUUCAACUUCCUUAGUUUUACAUGGUAUUUUUUUCUCUCGUCAUUCAUCUGAAUCUCAGCAUCACAAUUCAGUGAAUGCAGAGUGGGUGGACACAGACACACCAGCACAUAAUUUAUUUACACUUACACUGUUCAUACUUGGCUCUCCGAUGCUGCAGAGUCAUGUGCUUCACGUGUUCAUCGAAGUCUCAAAAUGUUCCCAUUAUUCUUCACUCAUGCCAGCAGAGUCAAAGCUUUCCAGUUAGAGGAAAUGUAACAUCUUGGCAGUAAAAAAAGAACUUGGCAUGUUAUCUGUCCCCCAGCCCCUACCCUGGUGUGAUAGGAUAUACAGCACACUGUUGAUGUCAUACGUAAAUCAUAGCUGACACCUCAGACUACCUACACGUGCUCCUAACCUCCCUUCUUCUCUUGGAAAGGAUCAGGAAUAGACGUUGGGCCAGACACACUAUUCCAUAACAACCGUCCCACUCUUAAGCAACUCUUUUCUGCACGACGCAGCACACGUGCACAAUAACAAACCUAAGCCCACCAUCAGAAGGAAGUGGCAAACACUUGAAAAAUACAAGAAACUGCCUUGGGAGAGGGCUGCAGCUGCUAAAAAACCCUAGCCCAGCCUGGAAGAGCUACCAUGAAAGUAGGCUGAUGCAAGAAUGGGCCAGAAGCAAAAUUUGCUACCCUGGCACUUCAUUGCCUCUAUUCUCUCUCUAGUUCCCACCAGUUCCUGUGUGCGCUAUCAGAGAAAGAAAACAUGACUUAACAUUUCAGAGGGAACAAGACACUUUCAUAAAGCAUUUCUUAAUGUUACUGAUAACAUACACCUACCUAAUAAAUCUGGUAUCAACUAUAGCAGUAUCAAAUCAUGCUUUAGACCUAAAUUAAGUAACGACCUAUGGCUACUAAUCCUAGCACUAAGACAGUACUAGUACUUCGCAUUUAUUACCUAACCAAGUGAAAGAGUACACGACGUAUUUUGGAAUGAUUAUGGCACUUAUUUUUUAAAUUGCAGAUCAAGAGAUUAAGCCCCAAUCUCCAAAAUAUCUGGAUGCCUAAAAAAAGACAAUAGGUGCUUAACCAAUUUCUCAGAAGCAUUUCAGCAUUUCUUUAUCAUUAAAGCCAUACAUUCAGUGCAUUUCGAAAGAACUCUUUGGACUAGAUUUCACCCUGGUGGUGGUGUCAUCCUAGCACUCUGCAGUAGCUUACUUUCUCUUCUGUGCUCACCCUCAUGAUCCCAAACUAGGCAAGACGUAAGUUUAUCCAAGUUCCUAAAAUUACAAAAAUGAGCUUCCAAAGCACGGAAGAUGCAGUCUUUGAAACACACAUUGAAGACUAUACUGGUGAAGUGCUAGGAGAAUCAGGAAGAACUACAGCUGACUCCCUUUCUUUUAAGGAGAAGCAGUAUACAAAAAUUAACGUAUUUACUCUCAACACCACGCGAGGUAGAAGUACUUUACAAAUGGAGAAACUGAGUACAGGAAUGUAGAUGGAAUAAGGGAACACAAAAUACAAUGCAGAAUCAGGAACAAAACUCAAGCUGUUCCACCAAGGUCCAUUUUGAUGAGUGAAACGGUAUUUACCUUUAGAAUGCCCUUGAAGAUAUGAAAUACAACAGAAACCAGGCCUUGAAAAUAAACACAGUACUUUGUAUAAAAAGUAUGGAAAGUAACAUGACUUGCUAGUCUAGUAUCUAAAAUACCUAGAACUAUGUACAUUAGUACAAAUGAAGAAGUAAAACCUAAAUGGAUUAAAGUAUUAGCACCCUACAGUAAGUUUAUUACAUUAUGUUUUCUCCUAAGGACUGUGAUUCAGGCUAGCUAAGCAAAGAUGGUUUUACACCUUUUUCCUCAUCUCAUUCCAAAUCCCACAGCCCCCCCA